AGAAUUCCUAAUAAUAAAUCAAAAUCUAAGGAUCCAUUUCUUUUUACAAAUCCCCCAAUGACUGGGUUAAUAAGUUAUAAAUAUAUUUGACAUGAUGUCAUUGGUGGAUGUUAAAACAUAUCACUAUCUAACCAUUAGACUGGAUAAAAAAAAUGGAGCUUAGAUUUAAUUCCUCUAUAAAUCCAACUGAGUGACAAGCAAAAUAUUUAUAUAACCUGUGGAUUACUAAAAAUUAUUGAACCAUUAUCGAUCCAAUAAAGAAAAUACUAGAAAAGAUUGAUAUUUAGGCUGCAUUCAAAGUGGAGACGGAUCCGGAUUUUACAUCCGUUCGGUCAAAAGUCAAUCUCAUUAAAAAUGAUAUAUAUUGAUUUUCAUUUUUAAAAAAUUAUAAGUAACGUUAUAACGCUCUAAAAAUUUGCCGGAUCAAAAAGUCAAAAUGUUUUGACUUCAAAAUUUGCCGGAUCCGUUUUUAAGACGGAAGGUAUCGGAACGGACACACUAUGAACAUAUAUAUAUUAUUUUUAAUGUGAUUGACUUUUGUCGGAACGGAUGUAACGGAUCCGUCUCCACUUUGAAUACAGCCUUAUGCUGACAAAGGCAUGAAAGUGUAUGUAACUCAGGAUUCAACUUGGAGUGUUUUGAUUGUAACUCCAAUAAUGCUAUGCACGCGUGAAUUGGAAACUUCUCAAGAUAUUAUUUUUAUUGAUUAAACUUCAAGUUGUAGCCCAUUCCAAUCUGACCUUAGUAAUAACAGCAACCAAGGCAGGAGCACUGCCCCUCUAUGUUUUAAUACAUGAGAGAUAUACAGAAAAUAAUUGUACACAAGCAUUUCAAAUGUUAAUGGGCUCACUUUUCUACAUGUUCUGGUGAUAAGAAAUAUUCAUGACUGAUGAUUCCACUACUGAAAAAAAUGCAAUCAGAAAUAUUUGGCCUUUUUAAAGCAAUUACUUUGCCACUUUCGUUUCCUUCAGGCAGAAAUGAGAUGGCUGACCACCAAUAUGAAAUCUGAACUAUUUACCAUUAUGGAAAUAUUUAGAUCAGUAUAUUUUAUGGGUUAUAUUAUAUAUAGAACCUAAUAUUUUUAGUUAGUUUAUGCACAAAAACAAUUUUGAUUUUUAUCUUAAUCGUAUUAGGUGUUUGAAUAAUAUAAAAUACAAUCAAAGAAUUAAUAAAUUAUUGAAAAGAAGAACUGAAUGGAAUGCUUAGUCUAGAAAUAGCAUUGUAAUUGUAACAAGAAAUCAUAAUAAAAAUAAUUAUUCAAAAUAUAAGAUUCUACAACGCCUUGGUAUAAAUUAUAACCAAAGAGAUAUCAUCAGGCAUGAACAGGUUGCCAUGUCUCCCCCCAUCAGCAGGAGACUCCCGCAAUUUUUUAGUUUACAUGCAAACAUCUCACUCCCGCAAAACUACCGCAAUUGAAAUCUCCCGCAAAAAUCUACCGCAAUUUUUUUUAUUUCUCCAGCAAUUUUUUAUUUUUUUAGCAUUUUAAUGUUUUUAAUAUAUAAAUAAUAAUUUUGAGAGACAGUAAUUGAUUAUUUUAAUACUAAAAUAAAUUUUAAAUUAUUCGAAAAACAUGUCUAGUAUGUAAAUUUCUUUCUAUCCUGUUUUAUUUUUGUCCAAUAAUAA